UCUCAAUUGCUUGUAACAUCGUUAUUGUGGAGUCCUUUAUAUGUAGCGUUUGAGACAGUCAUACAUUCAAAAACCAAGUAAAAAAAGAUUGGCGUCAAAAUUUUUAGUGAUACCUGUGGCAUUCUGAAGGAAGGGUAGUAUAUUUUAUACCGCGAAAUUUAGUUUUGAUAUAUGUAAACAAUUAGAUUUAACUAUGAAUCAUAGCUAUUAAACUUUCGGAACUUUAUAUAGGAAACAGUCAGAUAAAAGACAUAAAAAGUGUUUUUUAUAUCGAGUGAGAAGUGUUUUGUGAUGUGUCUAAGUACAAGCUAACUAUGUGUUAAACGCAUUUCCGCCAGCAUGGGUACAUGUGUUUGGUGGAUAUUGAAGUAAAUUUCAUGCAUAACAGGCAAUCAAAAUAUAAGAGUUGGUUAACAUCUUCUUCACAUCAGUUGAGUAACCUGAGUACAUAAGACACAUUUAAAAAAGGAACCAGUCUAGCUAGAGCGCUCGCCCUGUCACUGUGAUGACCACAAGGAUGGUUUGCAAGGCUGCGAUAAGUUUGAUGUUUGUGUUAUCGAUUAUCUCCAAAAAAGCCAAUGGUAUCAUUUGUAAAGGUCUGAUGCUUCCAGGGGUACAAGAAUGUCCCAAGGAAACGGAAACCACCAAGGAAUCUUCUUCAUUGUCGACGAAUCCUUCUCUUCCUCGGCAAUUCGUAAACUGGUCGGAAACAACGCCACAGCAGACAUAUUCACAAGAUCCUGUCACUAGCGUGUCAUCUUCAAUCAGUGUCAAUGAAGUGUCUGUAUUGAUGAUUGGACUGAUAAUUUGUAAUCUGUGACGUGAAUGUUAGUCAUCGAGUUUAUAAGAAGAACAGUUAACAUCUGAAUUUAUCUUUAUAUACUUGAACAUUUUUUUUUCGAAAAUAUCUCUAUGUCACACACAGACAAAAUUAUACAAGAUAGAUAUUAAGUAUGUUUUUUUUCAGCAAAUUCAUGUGUGUUUAUUCUACUUAUAAACCCUAAAUCAAAUUAGCUUUAAAAUCAUAUCAUAUACACUUUUUUCCAGGAUAUCUAAAACAAAAUUUAGUUCGUCUGUCAUUUACAUUUCAUUGCUAUACAUAACAUUUUCAGUAAUUGUCAUUCUCCAGACGGAUUCGAACUCAUAAUAUGCGGUUCAGAAGCCAAAUACUUUAACCACUAAAAUAUGACGAUCUACAACCUAAUGAAUGAUAUACAUGAGUUAAUCCCGACAACACAAUAAAAACAGAACGUGUUGGUUAUGUUUACACAGGAAAUAAUAUAAUUAUAGAAGCAUGCAUCAUAAUCUAUGAAUCGAGGCUUUAUCUAUAUCUUUUAUUUUAUAUACUUCACAAACUUAUUGUUGAACAAUUAGAAAAUUAAAAACAAACUAAUUGGUUGAACAAUGUUAAAUUUGGAAAUCACAAAAAUUCUCAAGGAGUUAAACCUGACAACACAAUAAAACAGAACGUUUUGGUUGUAAUUACACAGUAAAUGAAGGAAAUAAUGCCGCCUGAUACAUGUACGUCUAUUUUACAACCAUUAAGCAUUCUCAUUCAAUAUCUUAAACCUUGAUCCAUAAUUAUUUGUUUUUUAAAACACUAAAUGGUAUGAAAAUCAACAAUUGUUAAACUUUAUCUAAUUUGUAUCAUGCUGUGAAUGUAAAAUUUGACUUGUUUGUUGCUGUUGUUGAACCUUGAUAUAUACACGGAAGUGAACAGCUAAUUAUUUAAGCCUUGAAGGAAAUGCUUUAAUAAACAGGAAGACCAAUGACUGAAAAGUCUGCAAACAAAGGUUAAUACUUUCUGAUUUUUUUUUUUAAUUUUGUAUGCUACAUAAAUAACUUAAUAAUCAUCAAGUUUAUUUCUUGGAUAUUUCAAAAUUCAGUGCAUCUUAUCUUGUUAAAAAAUUGAACGCUAGAAUUAACUUUUUAUCAAAAUACUAUGUUUAACAGCUUUCUUUUAAAAGGCCAAAGGUUGUACAUGUACAUUUUGUACAUGUAAAUGUAUCCAUUAGAUGACAAAUGAGUUCAGUUCGUAUAUAGUGAGUACAAAAUAUACAUUUUCUUUUUGUUAUGACUAUCAGAAAAGCUGCUUGAGGCAUAAAACUUAAAACGAGGAUAGAGACUUCAGUGUCUGUAUGGUGUGUUAUGAAUAAAUAUA